GACGAACGCUGGCGGCGUGCUUAACACAUGCAAGUCGAGCGGUAAGGCCCUUUCGGGGGUACACGAGCGGCGAACGGGUGAGUAACACGUGGGUGACCUGCCCUCAGCUCUGGGAUAAGCCUGGGAAACCGGGUCUAAUACUGGAUAUGACUCCAUGACGCAUGUUGUGGGGUGGAAAGCCUUGUGCGGCUGAGGAUGGGCCCGCGGCCUAUCAGCUUGUUGGUGGGGUGAUGGCCUACCAAGGCGACGACGGGUAGCCGGCCUGAGAGGGCGACCGGCCACACUGGGACUGAGACACGGCCCAGACUCCUACGGGAGGGCAGCAGUGGGGGAAUCUUGCGCAAUGGGCGAAAAGCCUGACGCAGCGACGCCG
rnacentral:rRNA from 1 species